rnacentral:rRNA from 1 species
AGACCCGAAACCCGGUGAUCUAGCCAUGGGCAGGUUGAAGGUUGGGUAACACUAACUGGAGGACCGAACCGACUAAUGUUGAAAAAUUAGCGGAUGACCUGUGGCUGGGGGUGAAAGGCCAAUCAAACCGGGAGAUAGCUGGUUCUCCCCGAAAGCUAUUUAGGUAGCGCCUCGUGAAUUCAUCUCCGGGGGUAGAGCACUGUUUCGGCUAGGGGGCCAUCCCGGCUUACCAACCCGAUGCAAACUGCGAAUACCGGAGAAUGUUAUCACGGGAGACACACGGCGGGUGCUAACGUCCGUCGUGAAGAGGGAAACAACCCAGACCGCCAGCUAAGGUCCCAAAGUCAUGGUUAAGUGGGAAACGAUGUGGGAAGGCCCAGACAGCCAGGAUGUUGGCUUAGAAGCAGCCAUCAUUUAAAGAAAGCGUAAUAGCUCACUGGUCGAGUCGGCCUGCGCGGAAGAUGUAACGGGGCUAAACCAUGCACCGAAGCUGCGGCAGCGAACGUAUCACCCAAGACAACUUUACGGAGUUGACGAUUGACGGAGCGAAGCGACGUCAAAGCGUUCAUUAAAGUCGAGUUGGCUUAGGGAUACGUUCGUUGGGUAGGGGAGCGUUCUGUAAGCCUGUGAAGGUGGCCUGUGAGGGUUG